AAGUCCAUUGCAUCAUUAACUUAAUCACAACACAACAUCCAUUCUCUCUCAAGCUCUCUCACUCUAGGAGAACCUCCCAAAUCCUCUCAAACCCCAAAAAUUUCCAGGAUUCAGAUAGCCAUUCCUCAGCCCGAUUCAAGGCCAAAAUUGUCAGAAAACUCAACCGUUUUCCGGCGACCGCCAUCCAACUCGAACCAAACUUGACCAAACUUCAUAUCCCACAUGUAUUCGACCCCCUGAGUCCAUUUCCGAGCUUAGUUUUUCAGUUUGAAGCCUCUAGCGGCCCGCUUUGCUCCAGCACAGAAUCGGUCUCCUAGGUGCUCCUCGGGACCUAGUCUGGUUCAUUCAACGUUUCUUCCUUCCCACGACUAUGGCGAGUCGUGCCAUCACUUUCUAGGGGUUCCUUACAACCCUCACUCUCUCCCGUGACGAAGUGGUCACGGCCCGAGAGCCGUUCAACCGUGCACCACCGCCAUUUCCCUCCUUUCUCCCUUCACAGAUUUUUCCAGUUUUUAACCAGUUUUCUUUGCAUCUUCCAGGAAAAUAUACACAUGCAAUCCUCACAAAACCACCACAAGCGUGAUCCUCAGUCAGUUAGGAGUCCAAUGCCACCGAUCUUGCAUCAAAAGACCACCGGGAGCUUCCUGUAGACCCGUUUCUUCAUCAGGCGUGAUCCUCAGUCAGUUAGGAGUCCAAUGCCACCGAUCUUGCAUCGAAAGACCACCGGGAGCCUCCUGUAGACCCGUUUCUUCAUCGGGUGCCAGUCGGGUCUGCUUCGCCCUGACUGGGUCUGUCAUUUUUUACUGAUCCGACUUUGCUUUUGAUUCCCGGAAAAUAUACGGUUGCAAUCUUCACAAAACCAGCGCAGGCGCGAUCCUUAGUCUCUUGGGAAUCCAAAGCAACCAACCCCGCAUGAAAAGGCCACCCCGAUCAACCGGUACAUCCCCGACAAGCCGAACUGCCAGUCGGGUCUGCCGCCGACCCGAUUUCACUGAUUCGGGUCUGUUCGUUCCAGGGGCAGAAUCGACUUCCCGAACCCUUUUUCCGACUUUCCUCGACUUUUCCCGCAUCCUGGGGUUAGGUAUAACCAUUAUCGACUUAGAGAAGUUAGGACUUUUACGUUUUAUUUGUAUUUGUGGGGCGAUAAGGCGGUCCAUGAUCGAUUUGCAUGCAAAUUAAUGUUUUUAAGUGUUUUUACAUCGUAUUAUACACGUCUUCAUCGUAUAUUGUGUUAGCAUGUCGAGAAAAGGUUUGAAUCGGAGUCGAGGAAACCUCAUUGGCUCGGGCAAGCCAAGGGAGCCCCUCGGCCUCAUCUCAAGAGAGGUGGCCGAGAGCUCCUCUUGACUCUCCCGGGGCCGUACGUGGUUUCCUUGCUCCAAUUUAAGUCGUUUCCCGAGUUUUUUUUUUACAUUUUCCCGCUUCCAUGAGUUGGUGCCGUUUUAUCGAUUUCCUUAAAUAUCAUGUUUGUAUUUGCUUGUAUGCUCGAUUGCGUUCCUAAGAUCACGGCGGCAUCAACUUUAUAAAAUGUGCGUUAUUAUCGUGUUUGAUGUCUUAUGCAUGCAAGAAACGGUCGAAACCGAUUCUA